rnacentral:rRNA from 1 species
AACGAACGCUGGCGGCGUGCCUAACACAUGCAAGUCGAACGUGAUUGGAAGCUUGCUUCCAUGAAAGUGGCGCACGGGCGAGUAACGCGUAGAUAAUCUGCCUGGUGAUCAGGGAUAACACUUCGAAAGGGGUGGUAAUACCUGCUAAGCCCACGGUGUCUUCGGACCUUGCGGGUAAAGGGGGGGACCUUCGGGCCUUCUGUCACCAGAUGAGGCUGCGUACCAUUAGCUAGUUGGUAGGGUAAAGGCCUACCAAGGCUACGAUGGUUAGCUGGUCUGAGAGGAUGAUAAGCCACACUGGAACGUAGACACGGUCCAGACUCCUACGAGAGGCAGCAGUGGGGAAUUUUGCGCAAUGGGGGAAACCCUGACGCAGCAACGCCGCGUGAGUGAUGAAGGCCCUUGGGUCGUAAAGCUCUGACAGAGGGAAAGAAAUGUGGGUGGCUAAUAUCCAUACCACUUGACGGUACCCUCAAAGGAAGCACCGGCUAACUCCGUGCCAGCAGCCGCGGUAACAC